UCAGAAAGUCAACUUGCCGUUUGC
rnacentral:miRNA from 1 species